rnacentral:rRNA from 1 species
UACGGGGGGGGCAAGCGUUGUUCGGAAUUACUGGGCGUAAAGGGCUCGUAGGUGGCCAACUAAGUCAGACGUGAAAUCCCUCAGCUUAACUGGGGAACUGCGUCUGAUACUGGAUGGCUUGAGUUUGGGAGAGGGAUGCGGAAUUCCAGGUGUAGCGGUGAAAUGCGUAGAUAUCUGGAGGAACACCGGUGGCGAAGGCGGCAUCCUGGACCAACACUGACACUGAGGAGCGAAAGCCGGGGGAGCAAACGGG